GUGUUUGUUUUAUUGUAAUUAUAAUCAUUAUUGUUAAUAUUAUUAAUAUUUUCUUUUUGUUGUUGUUGUUGUUGUUGCGCUGUGACCGCUGUACCGUUCGCGUCCAUCUCUCUGUGAACGUGUGUAUUUUAAAUUCCGCCCUGAUGUGUACAGACACACACACACACACCCCGCUGCUUCUGGCCUGGAUGGUAAGUUUAUCGUAUUUUAUCAUUUUUUGAUAGUCUGGAUGUUGGAAACCGCUUGGACCGCGUCUUGUGAUGUGUUGGCCUGCGCUGGAGAGAGAUGUUCUUUUUUUUUAAAUAAUAAUAAUAAUAAAUUAAAACAAAAAGUCACAUAAUACUAGUAUAACAUCAGAUGUUUCAAAGAACGACUUUAUUAAACUUUCAAACGUGGUGGAUUGUCGGGUGUGUUCUUGUACACCUACAGCCCCGGCGUGAAAUAUUCCGCUUGGCGUGUUUCAGGCUGACCGGCUCCCGUGUCCCCAGCUUCCCGACCCGGUGUCCUGGCGCGGGCGCCUCGUCCCCGUCGUCCCCGGAGCAUCGUGCAGCAAACGGGAACCCUGUGGUGGAACCUUUCCCAGAAGGGCUGGACAUGAUCAUGUUCGGUCUGAAGAUGAUUGGAGCUAGUCCGGUUGGAGCAGCUUCUCAAAGUGUUGUGGAAAGCCAGGACCCCACUCAGGGUAGAGCGUGCACACACACACACACACACACACACACACACACACACACAGCAGCAGCAGCAGACCCAUGAAGAGUGUAGUCGUCCAUGUUUCUGGUCAUCCAGAAACAUGAUGUGUACUCUGUGUGUGUGUGUGUGUGUGUGUGUGUGUGUGUGUGUGUGUGUGUGUGUGUGUGUGUGUGUAUAUCCCUG
ensembl:lncRNA